rnacentral:rRNA from 1 species
UACGAGGGGGGCGAGCGUUGUUCGGAAUUAUUGGGCGUAAAGGGUGCGUAGGCGGUUUGGUAAGUCUUAUGUGAAAUCUACAGGCUCAACUUGUAGUCUGCAUGAGAAACUGCCGGGCUUGAGUAUGGGAGAGGUGAGUGGAAUUCCUGGUGUAGCGGUGAAAUGCGUAGAUAUCAGGAGGAACACCUGUGGCGAAGGCGGCCAUCUGGACGGUAACUGACGCUGAGACGCGAAAGCGUGGGUAGCAAACAGG